UGGGGGGAGCCGUUAGCGCGGCUGAGAGGUCUCAAUCGGGAGACGACCCCAGGAACCUGAUCCGGCUAACACCGGCGUAGGGACUAGUGAGU
rnacentral:ncRNA from 1 species